GACGUAGGAGGCGAGCGUUGUCCGGAUUCAUUGGGCGUAAAGAGCGCGCAGGCGGCUUGGUAAGUCGGAUGUGAAAUCCCGAGGCUCAACCUCGGGUCUGCAUCCGAUACUGCCCGGCUAGAGGUAGGUAGGGGAGAUCGGAAUUCCUGGUGUGAGCGGUGAAAUGCGCAGAUAUCAGGAGGAACACCGGUGGCGAAAGCGGCUCUCUGGGACGGUACUGACGCUGAGACGCGAAAGCGUGGGGAGCGAACAGG
rnacentral:rRNA from 1 species